CGGGGGGCAGCAGUGGGGAAUAUUGCGCAAUGGGCGAAAGCCUGACGCAGCAACGCCGCGUGGGGGAUGAAGGCCUUCGGGUUGUAAACCUCUUUCAGCAGGGAAGAAGCGAAAGUGACGGUACCUGCAGAAGAAGCACCGGCUAACUACGUGCCAGCAGCCGCGGUAAUACGUAGGGUGCAAGCGUUGUCCGGAUUUAUUGGGCGUAAAGAGCUCGUAGGCGGUUAGUCACGUCGGAUGUGAAAUCCCGGAGCUCAACUCCGGGCCUGCAUUCGAUACGGGCUGACUCGAGUGUUGUAGGGGAGACUGGAACUCCUGGUGUAGCGGUGAAAUGCGCAGAUAUCAGGAAGAACACCGGUGGCGAAGGCGGGUCUCUGGGCAACUACUGACGCUGAGGAGCGAAAGCGUGGGGAGCAAACAGGAUUAGAUACCCCAGU
rnacentral:rRNA from 1 species